rnacentral:rRNA from 1 species
GACGAACGCUGGCGGCGUGCUUAACACAUGCAAGUCGAACGGAAAGGCCCUGCUGUUGUGGGGUGCUCGAGUGGCGAACGGGUGAGUAACACGUGAGUAACCUGCCCUUGACUUUGGGAUAACGUCAGGAAACUGGGGCUAAUACCGGAUAGGAGCUCCUGCUGCAUGGUGGGGGUUGGAAAGUUUCGGCGGUUGGGGAUGGACUCGCGGCUUAUGAGCGUGUCGGUGGGGUAGUGGCUUACCAAGGCUUUGGCGGGUAGCCGGCCUGAGAGGGUGACCGGCCACAUUGGGACUGAGAUACGGCCCAGACUCCUACGGGAGGCAGGAGUGGGGAAUAUUGCACAAUGGGCGGAAGCCGGAUGCAGCAACGCCGCGUGCGGGAUGACGGCCGUCGGGUUGUAAACCGCUUUCGCCUGUGACGAAGCGUGAGUGACGGUAAUGGGUAAAGAAGCACCGGCUAACUACGUG